UCCCUCAAGUCUCUCAGAGCAGCUGUCGUCAUCCUCUGCUAGGGUUUGGAGUCGUCAUAGCAUUUGCAAGCUCAGCCUCGUUCUUUCGUUCCGCCUCGCAAAGCUGUCCCGUGAGCUAUUGAUCUUCACUGUUUGAGUGUCAAAGCUGUAGCUAACCCAGAUGGGCGAGGUUCUCGUGGUCAACAAGGGAAUGGUGAUUCCGCUGCUUAGCCAUCUGGGUUGGAGCUAUCUUCUUCAUGAUUUCUUUAGGGCUAUGACCCAUGUAUCGCUUUAUGCAUUUCUACUCUACACUCUUUGUUAGACUUGUAUUUGGUUUUUCUUUGGCAUCGUGGUGUGCCCGGUUUGUAGGGAUUGUGUUAAGGACCCCAAGACUUCGCUACAUUGUUAUCUCUGUAUGACGUUUCCUUUAAUUUCGCGCUUUAAAUUA